AUUUUUUAGUUGUUUUGAAAAAAAAAAGAAGACCAAGUCUUACAAAGGCACAAAAGCGUUUGUAUGCACAGAAUACAAGCUAAAAUGAAGAUGCUAUCAACUGUUUCUUUUCUUGUGUUUUACCAUAAAUUCGCAAAAUAUACCACUAGCGACAGCGGUGAAUUUGAAGUGUUGUUAAAGAAAAGUAAAAAAACAUCGUGAAAAUUAAUCAUUAAAGAUGAUGAUUUAAUUCUAUAAAUCUGCAGCAAUGUUUUGAAUCUAAAAGUACGUAUACAUUGGCCACUUAAUCCGUAUUUAUGGCCUUUGCGAGAUGAGGUGCUAAAUCCUGUUUUUUUUUUUUUGCAUGUUUUACCAUACAAAAAUAAACACCAUUUUUGCAGGAUUUUUUUAAAUCCGAAAUAAACCCGAUUUCAUGGCUGAAUAAUCGAUAAAAGUACCAAAGUAUGCAACUGUUUUCAAGAAUUGUGUAUGGAUGUGUGUGAUAUACACAUUCAUGUACACCAAAAACGCAGUGUCUGUUUUUGAAUUUAACUAAAUCCAGCCGAUAAAAAAAUUUCAGCUGACCAGAACAUAAUUUUAAGUGUUAUUCAUAUGGUUGCAGAAAGAAUGAGAUAAAGAACAAGUAAACCGUACACCAUGGAUCGCAUUUGUCAAGUUCUUCGCCCGGUAUCUCUUUAUAGACAAGCAAAGGAUAAUGGAUAAAAAUGGCUAUGCUAUUGGAGCUGUAUUAGGUUUUGGGCCGAUUCGACCAUACUUAGUUUGGAUUCAGCCAGACCGGAUAAAAGUUGCGCCCUCAAGAAGUAAAAUCAGGAAAUCGGUUUAUAUCAGGUUUUGAACCGAAUCCGACCAUAUUUAGCACGUAUGGUUAUGGUCGUACAAGAAGUCGUUGUAAAAAAUUUUAGCCAUAUCGGAUAACAAUCGCGCCCUCUAGAGGCUCAAUAAGUCAAGAGAUUUGAGAUCGAUUUAUAUAGGAGCUAUAUCACCUUAUAAACCGAUUUAGACCAUGCUUGGAAUAGG